rnacentral:rRNA from 1 species
GAUGAACGCUGGCGGCGUGCCUAAUACAUGCAAGUCGAGCGAACGGACGAGAAGCUUGCUUCUCUGAUGUUAGCGGCGGACGGGUGAGUAACACGUGGAUAACCUACCUAUAAGACUGGUAUAACUUCGGGAAACCGUAGCUAAUACCGGAUAAUAUUUUGAACCGCAUGGUUCAAAAGUGAAAGACGGUCUUGCUGUCACUUAUAGAUGGAUCCGCGCUGCAUUAGCUAGUUGGUAAGGUAACGGCUUACCAAGGCAACGAUGCAUAGCCGACCUGAGAGGGUGAUCGGCCACACUGGAACUGAGACACGGUCCAGACUCCUACGGGAGGCAGCAGUAGGGAAUCUUCCGCAAUGGGCGAAAGCCUGACGGAGCAACGCCGCGUGAGUGAUGAAGGUCUUCGGAUCGUAAAACUCUGUUAUUAGGGAAGAACAUAUGUGUAAGUAACUGUGCACAUCUUGACGGUACCUAAUCAGAAAGCCACGGCUAACUACGUG